UUUGCAAAAAAAAUGAAAAAUUCAAUAAUUUAGAAAUUUUAUAUUAAUUGUUUUUCGAUUUUAGCCACGAUUGAAUUAAAACAAGUCAAGCGUUUUUAAAUAAGAAUUUAACAAAAAGGAAAUCUAUAUUUGGCGUGGGCCGAAUUUCGCUUACCCACCACCAUGCUUUUCAGGCUAAUUGAUUAAUUAACCGUUUCAUGGGAGCUUCCUGAAUAAUGUGCAUUUGAGAUUUGCUUACUUUUCUGUAACUUAUGCGCAGAUCUAACGUCCUGGUAAUUUCGUUCUUUUCAAUCUAAUUGUAAAUACAGGCCAAAUCUACUUGACUAUCAACAUGAUCUUGCUUCAUAUCAAAGCCUCUCUUUUAAUCACGGAAAUGUAUACUAUAUUACAUCGUGCACUAUUUCACAACGUUUUCAGGUUAUCUUCCUUUUUUUAUUGAACAAGUUUCAUAGCCGGCCAAUGCAAUAUUUUAUGCAAAAAUUAUAAUUUGUUUUUAAUGUAAUAAUAUAAAAUAAGAAGUAAGGCAAGAGCGUUGUUUGUGAACACGAGGUGUGAGGAGAUGAACAUUUUCACGAUCAGCUUGUAGCUUUCUUUUUGGGGAGACUUUAAAAGAAGUUAUCAUCUCGGAUAUGCUGUUUCACGAAGAUGAUGUAAGCGAACGGAUCACGAUAAUGAACAUGAAUCUAAAAUGAACUUUUAUCUCUCACAUCUUUUCCAGGAUGAUCAUUUUAGUUUGGGGGAAAAAAAGAAACUGGAGAACCAUAUGAUAUGAAUCAUGAAUAUGAUACUACUUCAAUCAUUUUAGUUGUGUUUCAGGCCAAAAUCUUUUAUACAGUAAUGGAUAAAAUUAAGCUCCUCAAGAACAAGUGUACCCGAAAUGUAUACUUUAUGUUACUUUUAAUAUUUUAUAACACGCCCUAAAAGUUGAUUAUUAGUUAUUAAUUAAUUAUUUAAGGAGACUUUGAUCCUCUUUUUUCUUCUUCUA